rnacentral:rRNA from 1 species
UGCCACCCUGAAUAAGCCCAAUCCCAUCUGAUCUCGGAAGUUAAGCAGGGUAGGGCCUGAUGAGAGACCCUACUUGGAUGAGAGACCACCUAGGAAGACCAGGU